CACCGCGGUUAUACGAGAGACCCAAGUUGUUAGACACCGGCGUAAAGAGUGGUUAGGGAAGUUCAUCCGACUAGAGCCGAACACCUUCAAAGCUGUUAUACGCACCCGAAGGUAAGAAGCCCAACUACGAAAGUGGCUUUAUGUUAACUGAACCCACGAAAGCUAGGACA
rnacentral:rRNA from 2 species